UACGUAGGUGGCAAGCGUUGUCCGGAAUUACUGGGUGUAAAGCGCGUGUAGGCGGCAGACCAAGUCGGCGGUGAAAGCGCCCGGCUCAACUGGGCGAGGUCCGUGGAAACUGGUCAGCUGGAGGACGGUAGAGGCGAGUGGAAUUCCCGGUGUAGUGGUGAAAUGCGUAGAGAUCGGGAGGAACACCUGUGGCGAAGGCGGCUCUCUGGGACGGUACUGACGCUGAGACGCGAAAGCGUGGGGAGCGAACAGG
rnacentral:rRNA from 1 species